rnacentral:misc_RNA from 1 species
GAAAUGCGAUAAGUAAUGUGAAUUGCAGAAUUCCGUGAAUCAUCGAAUCUUUGAACGCACAUUGCGCCCUCUGGUAUUCAGGGGGGCAUGCCUGUCCGAGCGUCAUUGCGAACCCCUCAAGCACGGCUUGUGUGAUGGGCCCUCCCGCGUCUUGGUCGUCAAGACGGGCCCGAAAUGCAGUGGCGGCUUCGCGGUUAUCCGAUCAGCCAGAGCGUAUGGGGACUUUCUCUCUGUCACACGCCCGCGGCGCGGACCGACGCCUGUCGACCUUCAUUCAUCGUUUUCUCGGUUGACCUCGGAUCAGGUAGGGAUACCCGCUGAACUUAAGC